rnacentral:lncRNA from 1 species
AUAUGAGUCAGCCCUGAAAAUCUUAGGCAGAGGAGAGAGGUGCUGAAGAUGAAGGAAGAACCCAGAUAAAAAUGGGGAAAAUGAUCAACGUAGAAGAUGGCAGCCAGACUUGAAACGACACAGAAGGGAAGCAGUUCUUCUGAAAAAGGAGACGUGCUGAGUAAACAGUCCCUGAAGUGCUCCUGGCUGGGCUCCAGAUGAGUAAUGAUUUAUGAACGGGAAAUCUGGGUCGGCCGGGCUUCAGUCCCGCGGCGCAGGGAGAUGGAAACCAGAUGCGGAGGCUUCAUCCAGAGGCCCAGGAGCGGCAGCAAGGAGGGGGUGAGGGUGCAGAGAGGGACACAGAACCACGAAGGGCACAUGUGGCGCGGGGAACACACAGAGAGGGGAGGAGGAGAAGACAGAAAAGAGGAGGGAGAGGAGAGAAUCAACCAAGCCGUCACUCUUGGAAAUAAAACACCCUUCAGAGUUAACUCAGAAAACGUUUCCUCAGCCAGAAAACCUGGUGCUUCCUCAGAAUAUACGUUUUGUUUUCAUCUACGUUCCCAUGGAAACCAGCUAAAAAAGUUCAGACACAUUUGUUGACUUCAACUACUUGGAGUACAGAGACCGUGUCUGUGUGUGUGUCUCAAUAUACACAACGUGUUUCCAAAUAUGUUUCAAUGAAAUGCUGGUUCUCUUCCAAUUAAAUCUCUGCGAGAGUUCAGUUUCCUAAAAGCUAAAAAGAAUUGAUUUUUAAUGCAAUUCUGCCAAAGAGAAGAAAAUUUAAGUGUGUAUUCUUCCUAUUGCCAAACUGUCCAAUACAAAG